rnacentral:lncRNA from 1 species
UUUUAUUCAGGAGACAAAAGUUCACUAGAUGAACGACCAAAUAGCAAAGAUCCUAUGGGGAUUCCAAGAGGUCGAGUGGUCGACAAAAGAUGUGAAAGGUCAAUUAAGAUGAUUGAUUAUAAUGUGGAAUUCGGGCAUGAUAACUUCAUUGACCAACUUUAGAGGAGGAGUAUUAUUAGGAGUUGGUGCAAAUUGUAAAGCUAAGCUUUGUU